UGCGUCGGGGAACGGGCUCCCGCCUCUGGUUCCCUCUGCCCGUGGCGCGCUCCUCUUCCUUCCUGGAGGCAGAAUAAAGCAAAUCAGUGUUGGUAUAGACUUUCUCUCAUCCGUGUACCUGUAGCCAGCUCAAGACGGUCCACCGCCUAUCUCACACAGCUCCUUGCUUGUCGACUCACUCUCCUUUCCCUGUUCUCUCUUUCUCCACAGCUGACUGCUGGGACAUAAAGGCACAAUGAAUCGGUCUCCAAUGGUUCUCUCACCUCUGCGCUGACUACAGCUUUGGGUAGGUAUGGCUCUCUUCACAGUUCGGUAUCUCAGUGCUCACGCUGGCUCUUUCUCUCUCUCUCCACAGAUGACUGCUGGGACAUAAAGGCACAAUGAAUCGGUCUCCAAUGGUUCUCUCACCUCUGCGCUGACUACAGCUUUGGGUGACUGCUGGAACACAAGGCACAAUGAAUCGAUUCUCCAAUGGUUCUCUCACCUCUGCGCUGACUACAGCUUUGGAUGACUGCUGGGACACAAGGCACAAUGGAUCGAUUUUCCAAUGGUUCGCUCACCUCUGCGCUGACUACAGCUUUGGGUAGGUAUGGCUCUCUGCACAGUUCAGUAUCUCAGUGCUC